CGGCGAGUGAAGCGGCAACAGCUCAAAUUUGAAAUCUGGCGUCCUCGGCGUCCGAGUUGUAAUUUGUAGAGGAUGCUUCUGGGCAGCCACCGGUCUAAGUUCCUUGGAACAGGACGUCAUAGAGGGUGAGAAUCCCGUAUGCGACCGGAAAGGCACCCUCCACGUAGCUCCUUCGACGAGUCGAGUUGUUUGGGAAUGCAGCUCUAAAUGGGAGGUAAAUUUCUUCUAAAGCUAAAUACUGGCCAGAGACCGAUAGCGCACAAGUAGAGUGAUCGAAAGAUGAAAAGCACUUUGGAAAGAGAGUUAAAAAGCACGUGAAAUUGUUGAAAGGGAAGCGUUUGCAACCAGACUUGCUCGCGGUGUUCCGCCGGUCUUCUGACCGGUUCACUCGCCGUGUUGCAGGCCAGCAUCGUCUGGGGCCGCCGGAUAAGACCUUGGUAAUGUAGCUCCCCCUCGGGGGAGUGUUAUAGACCAUGUUGAUGCGGCGCGUCCCGGGCGAGGUCCGCGCUUCGGCUAGGAUGCUGGCGUAAUGGUUGUAAACGGCCCGUCUUGAAACACGGACCAAGGAGUCUAACAUCUAUGCGAGUGUUCGGGUGUCAAACCCCUACGCGUAAUGAAAGUGAACGGAGGUGGGAACUUUAUUGUGCACCAUCGACCGAUCCUGAUGUCUCGGAUGGAUUUGAGUAAGAGCAUAGCU
rnacentral:rRNA from 1 species